rnacentral:rRNA from 1 species
GUCCAUGGCCAUGCCACUCUGAACAAGCCUGAUCCCGUCUGAUCUCAGAAGCUAAGUAGGGUCGGGCCUGGUUAGUACUUGGAUGGGAGACCACCUAGGAAGACCAGGUGCUGUAGGCU